GAUGAACGCUGGCGGUAUGCUUAACACAUGCAAGUCGAACGGGAUCUUCGGAUCUAGUGGCGGACGGGUGAGUAACGCGUGAGAACAUGCCCUUAGGUUCGGGACAACAGUUGGAAACGACUGCUAAUACCGAAUGUGCCGAGAGGUGAAAGAUUUAUUGCCUAGGGAUUGGCUCGCGUCAGAUUAGCUAGUUGGUGGAGUAACGGUUUACCAAGGCGACGAUCUGUAGCUGGUCUGAGAGGAUGACCAGUCACACUGGGACUGAGACACGGCCCAGACUCCUACGGGAGGCAGCAGUGGGGAAUUUUCCGCAAUGGGCGAAAGCCUGACGGAGCAAUACCGCGUGAGGGAGGACGGCUUUUGGGUUGUAAACCUCUUUUAUCAGGGAAGAAGAACUGACGGUACCUGAUGAAUCAGCAUCGGCUAACUCCGUGCCAGCCGCCGCAGUAACAC
rnacentral:rRNA from 1 species